rnacentral:ncRNA from 1 species
CGGGAGGCAGCAGUGGGGAAUUUUCCGCAAUGGGCGAAAGCCUGACGGAGCAAUGCCGCGUGGAGGUGGAAGGCCUACGGGUCAUCAACUUCUUUUCUCGGAGAAGAAACAAUNNNNNNAUCUGAGGAAUAAGCAUCGGCUAACUCUGUGCCAGCAGCCGCGGUAAGACAGAGGAUGCAAGCGUUAUCCGGAAUGAUUGGGCGUAAAGCGUCUGUAGG